rnacentral:lncRNA from 1 species
UUUAUUUUUGAUACAGAGACAGAGCGCGAGCGGGGGAAGGGCAGAGAGGGAGGAGGGAGACACAGAAUCUGAAGCAGGCUCCAGGCUCUGAGCUGUCAGCACAGAGCCCGACACGGGGCUCGAACUCACGGACCGCGAGAUCAUGACCUGAGCCGAAGUUGGACGCCCAACCGACUGAGCCACCCAGGCGCCCCAGGGCACGGGGAUCUUUAUACGUCCUGUGAGAUACCUCCAGGAUUUAACCCAAUCAGUAACCCUGACAGGAAGGAGGACACAUUCAAUUCAAUAAACCCAUAUACAGCAUCUACUUCUAAAAAAGAAAAGAAGAGGAAAGAAAAGAAAAGGGAAGAAAAGCGAAAAGAAAAGAAAUGCUAAGUGGACCAGGAGGGGAGGAAUUUAUUAAAGCCUGUGGGAUCUGGGAGGACUUCAUGGCCGUGUGAGUCCUGGUUGGACAGUCAGGAUUUUGUCAGGUAGAAACGGGAGGAGGACCAUUUGUUCGACUGCAGUUCAGGGUGCGUAGGAAGAGAUGGUGAGGGUCAAGGUGGAAAACUGUCUCCAAGAUGGCGCCCAAUGAUCCUCAACUCCUGCUGUUCAUGUUCUUUUGUAGUCCUCCCGGCAUUGUCUCAGGGGUGGUCUGUGUGACCAACGGAAGUGAUGGUGUGUGACUU